GCCCUGGUCAUAAUUUAUGUCAUCUCCCCAUUACUCCUAGGGCUACUGUCAUUCCGAAGUUUUGGAAGACGGACUUGCCGCCCCGGACGAAAAACCAAGCCCGGCGGGGCGGGGCGGGUAGUGCGGCCGGCGGAGGUCGCUGACGAGAAUUCCUGGCGGGGGCGAUGCUGGAGGGGGGAGAGGAGGGCUGCUCGGUAGCCGCGCAGGGGCCGGCGCGGGGAACAGCCCCGCGCGGCGGUCGGUGCUGCUGGGACGUUGGUGCCGCGAGGAGGUCACACUCCCCACCCUCCGCGGGGCUCAGCUCCUUGGCUCCGGGGCUCGGAACCACUCUCGACAGAUGGCCCUGAUUGCUUUUUCACUGAGAAGAUAAAAAAAAAAAAAAUCCAGCUCCUGCAUCCUCUGUAUUUCUGUCCGUACCAUCCAUUUUGUGUACCUAAAGGAACAAGAGUCUUUUCUCCCUUCUAAGUUGCCAACCCUUGGCUUGCUGGCUUCAUCUCACCUCCCUCCAGACGUCUUCCCCUCCUUUGUACUAGGUCCUUCAUUUCUGCUUUCAGACUGAAUGGGACUGACCUACCUGGGGAAUUGGGGGGGAGAUGAUCUUUAUUUAUCCUUCUCAAGCUGUUUCCCUUUUCCUCUCAGUCCCUUCAUGGCCAAACUGCCCAGACAAAUUCAUGACACUUUUUCCUCCCUGAUCUCCUUGAUAAGCUCAUUCUUUUCUCAGUCUUUUUUUUUCCUUGACCUCACUGCCACACAAGAAAAUUCUGACUCACUUUCACCUAUAAAAUUCUCCCUUGACAUUGUCCUAGUAUGGUUCAGUCACCCCUUCUCCCUUGCUGGCUCUUCUUUCUCAUUUAGCCCUCUAUGUGAGUGGGCAUUUGCCCCAGGUUUUAUCCUCAAUACCUGCUGUCCUGAGAUAGCACUUUACAAUCCGCCCCUCUCCAGCCUUGAUCUGCCUCAUAAGCUCUACAUUCUCUCCAACCAGUAAGACAUUAUCAUCCAGAGACUGACUACCUCUAGUCAACAUGUCAAAAAAAGUUCACAUUUCCUUUCAAAAUUGACUUUCCUCCCUUUGACUCCUCUAUUUUUGUCAGCAUUACCUUAACUCCCAGCUACAGCUGCCACUUCUCCAUCCUUGUCUUUUUUAAGAUUUUGUUUUUGAGUAAUCUCUACACCCAACAUGGGGCUCGAACUCACAACCCUAAGAUCAAGAGUCACAUGCUCCACCAACUAAAGCCAGAUGCCCCUCCAUCCUCACUUUAACUUAUCUAUAGGACUCUCAAAACCCUUUAUCAAAUUCCUCGACUCUACUAACUUGUUUCCAUUGCCACCCAUCUACAUCCUUCCCAAGAUCCCUUUGCUAAUUCAACUGCCUUCAUUCACCCCAGAAUCAUUGGUGUUCCCCUGGAUUUUGUCCUCAUCAGUAUCCCUAGGGAUGCAGAUUAUCUUGUCCCUUUUUCAUUCAUCCUCCACAUGAAGUCAGACAUCAAGUUAACUGCUGAGUAUGACUUCCUAAUGUCCUAAUGAGGCUUUUUAACUUCUACAUCCUCAUCAUCAGUACCUUGAGAUAUUUCCAAGAUUACAUAAUUGUUUCUCUUACUCCUACAGUGCCACCAAAUGAAUCUUCAUUCCCCUCAAAAGGUUGUUAUAGUUAAAUGAGAUAAUCCAUCUAAAGCACUCAACAUAAUGCCUGACACAUGUAAGAGCUAUUAUUAUCUACUGAUCAGAAAUAAUCAUACAAAUAUCAAAUCAUGUUGUACACCUGAAACUAAUAUGUUAUGUAUCAGUUAUACCUCAAUUAAGAAAAAGAACUAAUUACUCCCCAUUACUGACAGCUUCAAAUCAUAAUUCUCAGCUGCAUGGUCUGCCCAGUGUAGCAACCCAUCAUAAUCCCCCAUCCAAACACUGGACAUGUUCACAUUUUCAGGGUGAAGUGAGCACAGUUCAUCUAUGCUUUUUCCUCUCCUGGAAUGCCUUUCUUUGUCCAAAGCCAUUCAAAUCCUCCCCUUUCUUCAAGUAACAAGACAAGUCCUACUUUUUCGAUACCUUCUAGAUCUUGGCCUGCAUUCUCCAAUAUGGUCUCACUGAGGUCCUCCACUCUCUUCUCAAGUCUGAUAAGGCUUCGAGAAGGGCUGUAAUGUGCCAGAGAAGAGCUGGUAAGCUAAGCCUUGCAGAUGGCAUCCAGGAAGGGAAGCAGUUUAUGUACAGAAAUAAAACUAUGUACAGGCUGCCUAUGAGAAAUGCCACAAAUGUGAUAAAAAAUGUAGAAUCUUCUGGACCUUCACUGAAUUCAGAUUUCAGAGUUGUACUGCUUGCAGUUCCUGGGUUGGAAGAUGGGAGCUCUGGCGAUUCUGGCCGGCCAACCGGCCGGCCGCCAGCAGAGAAGGACUGUUUACCAUAUGGAUGGCAGUGUACGGAGCAGCCUCCCCCAGGGUGCAUUUGUCUCAGCUUUGUUGAAAGCCAUUUCCUGCAGGAUGAGAUGUGUUCCAAGCAAACAAGGAAGUGAAAGAACAAACAUGCAACCAUGGGAUCAAGAAAACAGAAUCCAACAUAGAAGGGUUGUGAAAGGGAAGUCCUGGGAUGAAGCUGCAAUGUAGUCUGGACAGGAGCCAGUCUAGUCUGGAGCAGGAGGACCUGGACAGAGGAUUUAUUUCCAAUAAAAUAUGGAAAUGAUACAUUAAUCAUUUGAGUAGUUUUAUAGUUCAGACAGAGAAUUUGAGGAUGAAUAAAUAGACAGGGCCAUCAAAGAUAGAACAAACCAAAAUCCGAGUUAAUUAUUAACUCCAGGGAAAAUGAAC